GGAACAACAAUAUCUCCAGAGACGUUUCGAUCGAAUAAGGUCAAAACGAGCUAAAGAAGGCGAAUCCAAACCAUAAACAAUAAGAAAGGUCGUGUUUUGAGCAACGGAGGCAGAGAAAUUGGAUUGAAUCUAGAAAACCUAGAGGAAAUGCGAUUUGAGGGAAUAAUCUAAAUCGUAGUAUAUAGAUCAGUGAUGAGGAGGAAGAGAGAGAGAGAGAGAGAGAGAGAGAGAGAGAGAGAGAGAGAGAGAGAGAGAGAGAGAGAGAUGGAACCUGAUUGAAAUUGAUCGGAGAUCGUUGACGGAGAUGUAGCUCGGGAGAAAGUUUAUUUAAAGAAGGCGAAGACGAUGAGGAUGAGGAACGGUGAGCAGGGGCGGAUCCAGAAAAUUAUUUAAUAUGGGGUAAAAACUGAAGUCUUCCAGUGGGUUCCAAUCUGAAGCGUAGGCAUAUAAUACAAGAUGCAGUCUGCAAGAGAUGCUAUCAAGAAGAGGAGACUGAAGUACACCUGUUAUUUGAAUGUCUGUAUGCUAAAAUGGUCUGGCGGGCGUCAGGAUUAGCAAACACUAUUCUUACCAAUUCUACUACAACUCUUGAGGAAAAGAUUGAGGAAUGUAUCAGGUGCUGCUCUGUUUCUUCAUUAGCACAAUUACAAGAUCAUCCUAUAUGGAUUUUAUGGAGGCUUUGGAAAAGCCGAAAUAUGCUUAUUUUUCGUAGGAAGGUCAUUCCUUGGAGAAUUCUACUUCAACAGAGUAUCACUGAUGCAAAAGAGUGGCAUGAGAAUUCUCGGGAUAUUGAUACAAGUUACCAAAGUACAAAUCAUCCGACAAGAUGUAACAGAGAGGUACAUUGGAAGAAACCACCAGAAAAUUGGAUGAAGAUCAAUGUUGAUGGAUGUUUUCAAAGUAAUACAGAGAGAAGUAGAGCAGGGUGGGUUUAUCGUGAUCAUUUGGGUGUUUUAUCAUGGAGGAGUACAAGCAGUCGGCAAAAUAGUUAAUACUCCUCUAGAAUCUGAAAUGCAAGCCAUUCUAAUGGCUAUUCAACAUGCUUGGAGUAGAGGUUUUUCUAAGCUCUGUAUUGAGUCUGAUAGUAAGAAGGUGGUGGAUAUAUUAAAUGGAAAAAUUCUACAUUUUGAUAGCUACAAUUGGAAACGAGAGAUUCUUUGGUGGAACAAUCGAUUGGAAGGGGUAAUAUUUCAGUGGAUAGGGCGUGAAGGCAAUAGGGUGGCUGACAAAUUGGUGAAGCAUCAAAUGGAAGACAAUGUUUAUUUCAAAUUUUACUUUUAUGUUCCUAGAUUCUUAUCAAAUGAACUUCACUAUGACUAUGUAUGUUUAACGUAAUAUCAAUGAAGUAAGUGUUAUAAAAAAAAGGUAAAAA